rnacentral:rRNA from 1 species
AGGAUUAACGUUGGCGGCGUGCAUAACACAUGCAAGUUGAGCGUGGCUCUGGAUUUAUUCAGAGUCUAGCAGCGGACGGCUGAGUAAUGAACAGGAACGUACCUCGGAGUGGGGAAUAGCCCAUCGAAAGAUGGGGUAAUACCGCAUUCGCUCGCAAGAGUAAAGCCGCAAGGCGCUUCGAGAACGGCCUGUUUCCUAUCAGAUUGUUGGUGGGGUAAUGGCCUACCAAGUCUAUGACGGGUAGCUGGUCUGAGAGGAUGACCAGCCAGACUGGAACUGAGACACGGUCCAGACUCCUACGGGAGGCAGCAGUUGGGAAUUUUGCGCAAUGGACGAAAGUCUGACGCAGCGACGCCGCGUGAAGGAUGAAGGCUCUCGGGUUGUAAACUUCUUUUGCGAGGGAGUAAUUUGUGAACGUACCUCGCGAAUAAGCACCGGCUAACUCCGCGCCAGCAGCCGCGGUAA